AUGACUGUCGCAGUGAAAGAAGAGGAAGACUGUUUUGGCGUGAGGGAGAUGACUGUCGCAGUGAAAGAAGAGGAAGACUGUUUUGGCGUGGCGGAGAUGACGGUCACAUUGGAAGAAGAGGAAGAACAGGCUGGAGAUCUAAUGAACACCGGCACAUACAGAGAGAGACCAGACUCUCACUCUGACAGUGGGAAGAGUCCUUCAGGGGAACCAGAGCCAGAGACGUCCAAACCAGCAAGACCACACCACUGCUCCCACUGUGGAAAGAGUUUCACUAAGUCACGGAACCUAAAAGAGCAUGAGAGGAUACACACAGGAGAAAAUGCUUUUCAAUGCUCCCAGUGUGAAAAGAGUUUUAAAGAGUUAGAGAACCUGAAAAUACACAAGAGAACGCACUCUGAAGAGAAGCCUUACCACUGCUCCCAAUGUGGAAUGACAUUUAGGUGGUUACAAGGCCUGAAAAGGCAUGAGAGAAUACACACAGGAGAAAAGCCCUACCGCUGUUCCCACUGUGAAAAUAGUUUUAGGUGGUUAGAAGGCCUGAAAUGGCAUGAGAGAAUACACACAGGAGAAAAUCCCUACCAAUGCUCCCACUGUGGAAGGAGUUUUACUCAGUUAGCGAGCCUGAAAUCACAUCAGAGGAUACAUACACAGGAAAAGACAUAUCACUGCUCUAAUUGUGGAAAGACAUUUUCCCGGGCAGAGGACCUGAAAUCUCAUGAGAGAAUAGAGAGGCUGUGUUCUGACUUGUGUUUUUGACCUGAGAAUUUGUGUUUUAUGUUCAUGCCAAAUGAAAUCAUAUUGUUUAAAUGAAAUAAUUCUAAAAAAUAGGCCUGUUUUUUCAUCUCGAGACAUAAAAUCAGAUUAAAUAUU